GGCGAAAUAGUUUAAUAUAAAAUAAUAGAUUGUGGUUCUGUAGAUAGGGUUAGCUUUUCGUUA
rnacentral:tRNA from 1 species